ensembl:lncRNA
CUCCACUGCAGAGCUAGUUUAUUACUAUAUCACCACUGCAGAGCUAGUUUAUUACUAUAUCACUACUGCAGAGCUAGUUUAUUACUAUAUCUCCACUGCAGAGCUAGUUUAUUACUAUAUCACCACUGCUUAGCUAGUUUAUUACUAUAUCACCACUGCAGAGCUAGUUUAUUACUAUAUCCCCACUGCAGAGCUAGUUUCUUACUAUAUCACUACUGCAGAGCUAGUUUAUUACUAUAUCUCCACUGCAGAGCUAGUUUAUUACUAUAUCACUACUGCAGAGCUAGUUUAUUACUAUAUCACUACUGCAGAGCUAGUUUAUUACUAUAUCACCACUGCAGAGCUAGUUUAUUACUAUAUCACUACUGCAGAGCUAGUUUAUUACUAUAUCACUACUGCAGAGCUAGUUUAUUACUAUAUCACCACUGCAGAGCUAGUUUAUUACUAUAUCCCCACUGCAGAGCUAGUUUAUUACUAUAUCUCCACUGCAGAGCUAGUUUAUUACUAUAUCACCACUGCAGAGCUAGUUUAUUACUAUAUCACUACUGCAGAGCUAGUUUAUUACUAUAUCCCCACUGCAGAGCUAGUUUAUUACCAUAUCCCCACUGCAGAGCUAGUUUAUUACUAUAUCCCCAUUGCAGAGCUAGUUUAUUACUAUAUCACCACUGCAGAGCUAGUUUAUUACUAUAUCACUACUGCAGAGCUAGUUUAUUACUAUAUCCCCACUGCAGAGCUAGUUUAUUACCAUAUCCCCACUGCAGAGCUAGUUUAUUACUAUAUCCCCAUUGCAGAGCUAGUUUAUUACUAUAUCCCCAUUGCAGAGCUAGUUUAUUACUAUAUCUCCACUGCAGAGCUAGUUUAUUACUAUAUCCCCACUGCUUAGCUAGUUUAUUACUAUCUGACUACUGCAGAGCUAGUUUAUUACUAUAUCCCCACUGCAGAGCUAGUUUAUUACCAUAUCUCCACUGCAGAGCUAGUUUAUUACUAUAUCACUACUGCAGAGCUAGUUUAUUACUAUAUCACUACUGCAGAGCUAGUUUAUUACUAUAUCACUACUGCAGAGCUAGUUUAUUACUAUAUCAUCACUGCAGAGCUAGUUUAUUACUAUAUCACUACUGCAGAGAUAGUUUAUUACUAUAUCCCCACUGCAGAGCUAGUUUAUUACCAUAUCCCCACUGCAGAGCUAGUUUAUUACUAUAUCCCCAUUGCAGAGCUAGUUUAUUACUAUAUCCCCAUUGCAGAGCUAGUUUAUUACUAUAUCUCCACUGCAGAGCUAGUUUAUUACUAUAUCUCCACUGCUUAGCUAGUUUAUUACUAUCUGACUACUGCAGAGCUAGUUUAUUACUAUAUCCCCACUGCAGAGCUAGUUUAUUACCAUAUCUCCACUGCAGAGCAAGUUUAUUACUAUAUCACUACUGCAGAGCUAGUUUACUACUAUAUCACUACUGCAGAGCUAGUUUAUUACUAUAUCACUACUGCAGAGCUAGUUUAUUACUAUAUCACCACUGCAGAGCUAGUUUAUUACUAUAUCACUACUGCAGAGAUAGUUUAUUACUAUAUCUCCACUGCAGAGCUAGUUUAUUACUAUAUCACUACUGCAGAGCUAGUUUAUUACUAUAUCACUACUGCAGAGCUAGUUUAUUACUAUAUCACCACUGCAGAGCUAGUUUAUUACUAUAUCACUACUGCAGAGCUAGUUUAUUACUAUAUCACUACUGCAGAGCUAGUUUAUUACUAUAUCACCACUGCAGAGCUAGUUUAUUACUAUAUCUCCACUGCAGAGCUAGUUUAUUACUAUAUCACUACUGCAGAGCUAGUUUAUUACUAUAUCACUACUGCAGAGCUAGUUUAUUACUAUAUCACUACUGCAGAGCUAGUUUAUUACUAUAUCACCACUGCAGAGCUAGUUUAUUACUAUAUCUCCACUGCAGAGCUAGUUUAUUACUAUAUCACCACUGCUUAGCUAGUUUAUUACUAUAUCACCACUGCAGAGCUAGUUUAUUACUAUAUCCCCACUGCAGAGCUAGUUUCUUACUAUAUCACUACUGCAGAGCUAGUUUAUUACUAUAUCUCCACUGCAGAGCUAGUUUAUUACUAUAUCACUACUGCAGAGCUAGUUUAUUACUAUAUCACUACUGCAGAGCUAGUUUAUUACUAUAUCACCACUGCAGAGCUAGUUUAUUACUAUAUCACUACUGCAGAGCUAGUUUAUUACUAUAUCACUACUGCAGAGCUAGUUUAUUACUAUAUCACCACUGCAGAGCUAGUUUAUUACUAUAUCCCCACUGCAGAGCUAGUUUAUUACUAUAUCUCCACUGCAGAGCUAGUUUAUUACUAUAUCACCACUGCAGAGCUAGUUUAUUACUAUAUCCCCACUGCAGAGCUAGUUUAUUACUAUAUCCCCACUGCAGAGCUAGUUUAUUACCAUAUCCCCAUUGCAGAGCUAGUUUAUUACUAUAUCCCCAUUGCAGAGCUAGUUUAUUACUAUAUCCCCAUUGCAGAGCUAGUUUAUUACCAUAUCCCCACUGCAGAGCUAGUUUAUUACUAUAUCCCCACUGCAGAGCUAGUUUAUUACCAUAUCCCCACUGCAGAGCUAGUUUAUUACUAUAUCCCCAUUGCAGAGCUAGUUUAUUACUAUAUCCCCAUUGCAGAGCUAGUUUAUUACUAUAUCUCCACUGCAGAGCUAGUUUAUUACUAUAUCUCCACUGCUUAGCUAGUUUAUUACUAUCUGACUACUGCAGAGCUAGUUUAUUACUAUAUCCCCACUGCAGAGCUAGUUUAUUACCAUAUCUCCACUGCAGAGCAAGUUUAUUACUAUAUCACUACUGCAGAGCUAGUUUACUACUAUAUCACUACUGCAGAGCUAGUUUAUUACUAUAUCACUACUGCAGAGCUAGUUUAUUACUAUAUCACCACUGCAGAGCUAGUUUAUUACUAUAUCACUACUGCAGAGAUAGUUUAUUACUAUAUCUCCACUGCAGAGCUAGUUUAUUACUAUAUCACUACUGCAGAGCUAGUUUAUUACUAUAUCACUACUGCAGAGCUAGUUUAUUACUAUAUCACCACUGCAGAGCUAGUUUAUUACUAUAUCACUACUGCAGAGCUAGUUUAUUACUAUAUCACUACUGCAGAGCUAGUUUAUUACUAUAUCACCACUGCAGAGCUAGUUUAUUACUAUAUCUCCACUGCAGAGCUAGUUUAUUACUAUAUCACUACUGCAGAGCUAGUUUAUUACUAUAUCACUACUGCAGAGCUAGUUUAUUACUAUAUCACUACUGCAGAGCUAGUUUAUUACUAUAUCACCACUGCAGAGCUAGUUUAUUACUAUAUCUCCACUGCAGAGCUAGUUUAUUACUAUAUCACCACUGCUUAGCUAGUUUAUUACUAUAUCACCACUGCACAGCUAGUUUAUUACUAUAUCCCCACUGCAGAGCUAGUUUCUUACUAUAUCACUACUGCAGAGCUAGUUUAUUACUAUAUCUCCACUGCAGAGCUAGUUUAUUACUAUAUCACUACUGCAGAGCUAGUUUAUUACUAUAUCACUACUGCAGAGCUAGUUUAUUACUAUAUCACCACUGCAGAGCUAGUUUAUUACUAUAUCACCACUGCAGAGCUAGUUUAUUACUAUAUCACUACUGCAGAGCUAGUUUAUUACUAUAUCACUACUGCAGAGCUAGUUUAUUACUAUAUCACCACUGCAGAGCUAGUUUAUUACUAUAUCCCCACUGCAGAGCUAGUUUAUUACUAUAUCUCCACUGCAGAGCUAGUUUAUUACUAUAUCACCACUGCAGAGCUAGUUUAUUACUAUAUCCCCACUGCAGAGCUACUUUAUUACUAUAUCCCCACUGCAGAGCUAGUUUAUUACCAUAUCCCCAUUGCAGAGCUAGUUUAUUACUAUAUCCCCACUGCAGAGCUACUUUAUUACUAUAUCCCCAUUGCAGAGCUAGUUUAUUACUAUAUCCCCAUUGCAGAGCUAGUUUAUUACUAUAUCUCCACUGCAGAGCUAGUUUAUUACUAUAUCUCCACUGCUUAGCUAGUUUAUUACUAUCUGACUACUGCAGAGCUAGUUUAUUACUAUAUCCCCACUGCAGAACUAGUUUAUUACCAUAUCUCCACUGCAGAGCUAGUUUAUUACUAUAUCACUACUGCAGAGCUAGUUUAUUACUAUAUCACUACUGCAGAGCUAGUUUAUUACUAUAUCACUACUGCAGAGCUAGUUUAUUACUAUAUCACCACUGCAGAGCUAGUUUAUUACUAUAUCACUACUGCAGAGAUAGUUUAUUACUAUAUCCCCACUGCAGAGCUAGUUUAUUACCAUAUCCCCACUGCAGAGCUAGUUUAUUACUAUAUCCCCAUUGCAGAGCUAGUUUAUUACUAUAUCCCCAUUGCAGAGCUAGUUUAUUACUAUAUCUCCACUGCAGAGCUAGUUUAUUACUAUAUCUCCACUGCUUAGCUAGUUUAUUACUAUCUGACUACUGCAGAGCUAGUUUAUUACUAUAUCCCCACUGCAGAGCUAGUUUAUUACCAUAUCUCCACUGCAGAGCUAGUUUAUUACUAUAUCACUACUGCAGAGCUAGUUUAUUACUAUAUCACUACUGCAGAGCUAGUUUAUUACUAUAUCACUACUGCAGAGCUAGUUUAUUACUAUAUCAUCACUGCAGAGCUAGUUUAUUACUAUAUCACUACUGCAGAGAUAGUUUAUUACUAUAUCCCCACUGCAGAGCUAGUUUAUUACCAUAUCCCCACUGCAGAGCUAGUUUAUUACUAUAUCCCCAUUGCAGAGCUAGUUUAUUACUAUAUCCCCAUUGCAGAGCUAGUUUAUUACUAUAUCUCCACUGCAGAGCUAGUUUAUUACUAUAUCUCCACUGCUUAGCUAGUUUAUUACUAUCUGACUACUGCAGAGCUAGUUUAUUACUAUAUCCCCACUGCAGAGCUAGUUUAUUACCAUAUCUCCACUGCAGAGCAAGUUUAUUACUAUAUCACUACUGCAGAGCUAGUUUACUACUAUAUCACUACUGCAGAGCUAGUUUAUUACUAUAUCACUACUGCAGAGCUAGUUUAUUACUAUAUCACCACUGCAGAGCUAGUUUAUUACUAUAUCACUACUGCAGAGAUAGUUUAUUACUAUAUCCCCACUGCAGAGCUAGUUUAUUACCAUAUCCCCACUGCAGAGCUAGUUUAUUACUAUAUCCCCAUUGCAGAGCUAGUUUAUUACUAUAUCCCCAUUGCAGAGCUAGUUUAUUACUAUAUCUCCACUGCAGAGCUAGUUUAUUACUAUAUCUCCACUGCUUAGCUAGUUUAUUACUAUCUGACUACUGCAGAGCUAGUUUAUUACUAUAUCCCCACUGCAGAGCUAGUUUAUUACCAUAUCUCCACUGCAGAGCUAGUUUAUUACUAUAUCACUACUGCAGAGCUAGUUUAUUACUAUAUCACUACUGCAGAGCUAGUUUAUUACUAUAUCACUACUGCAGAGCUAGUUUAUUACUAUAUCAUCACUGCAGAGCUAGUUUAUUACUAUAUCACUACUGCAGAGAUAGUUUAUUA